UGGGGAAUAUUGGACAAUGGGGGCAACCCUGAUCCAGCAACGCCGCGUGAAUGAAGAAGGCCUUAGGGUUGUAAAGUUCUUUUGUCCGAGAGCAAAGGUUAUAUGUGAAUAGCAUAUAAAGCUGAGAGUAUCGGAAGAAUAAGCACCGGCUAACUACGUGCCAGCAGCCGCGGUAAUACGUAGGGUGCGAGCGUUAAUCGGAAUUACUGGGCGUAAAGGGUGCGCAGGCGGAUAUAAAAGUUAGAUGUGAAAUACCCGAGCUUAACUUGGGAGGUGCAUUUAAGACUGUAUGUCUAGAGUUAGUAAGAGGAUGGGAGAAUUCCGAGUGUAGCAGUGAAAUGCGUAGAGAUUCGGAGGAAUAUCGGUGGCGAAGGCGCCCAUCUGGGAUAUAACUGACGCUCAAGCACGAAAGCGUGGGGAGCAAACAGG
rnacentral:rRNA from 1 species